rnacentral:misc_RNA from 1 species
GGUCUAGGAUAAUUGAACAGUGAAUGACCCUGCCUUCUUCCCUGUGUUCCAGCUUGCUCCUAAACUAUAAUCUAUUCUCCUUUGUCUUUGCACUGUUGAAUGAUUAUUAUUGAUUCCUAAUGAUGGACUCAAUAGCGAUGAUGAUUCUCUAAUCUCUACUGGUGUAGUAGUUAGCUUAACUAGGGAGAAUCCAAUGGCAUAAAGGUCAAUUUAGUCAUUUAAUCAAUGCAACUUUU